CUCAAAUGAAUUGACGGGGGCCCGCACAAGCGGUGGAGCAUGUGGUUUAAUUCGAUGCAACGCGAAGAACCUUACCUACUCUUGACAUCCAGCGAACUUUCCAGAGAUGGAUUGGUGCCUUCGGGAACGCUGAGACAGGUGCUGCAUGGCUGUCGUCAGCUCGUGUUGUGAAAUGUUGGGUUAAGUCCCGCAACGAGCGCAACCCUUAUCCUUUGUUGCCAGCGGAUUCGGUCGGGAACUCAAAGGAGACUGCCGGUGAUAAACCGGAGGAAGGUGGGGAUGACGUCAAGUCAUCAUGGCCCUUACGAGUAGGGCUACACACGUGCUACAAUGGCGCAUACAAAGAGGAAGCGACCUCGCGAGAGCAAGUGGGCGCGUGAAAGCCGGUCACGCAGUCGCACGCGAUCUCGAAAAUGAAUCAGCUACGGAGGCAUGCCAGCAA
rnacentral:rRNA from 1 species